AUGUCCGAUUAAAUCAGUUUCAAUCUACUCUGUCAUAUAAUCCUACUUGGAUAACUGUAGUAAUUCUAGAGCUAAUACAUGCAAAAAACCCAGACGUAAGAAUGGGUGUAAGUAUUUGAUACCAAAACCAAUGUGGGCAUUCAACCUUGCUUAGUAAAAUUUGUAAGGGUCCACUGUAACUAUGACUAAAAAUACAAUUACGAAUCGCGAUUUAAUUCCGUGAUGACACGAACGAAAUUCUGCCCUAUCAACUUUCGAUGGUAAUGUAGGGGAUUACCAUGGUUUUAACGGGUAACGGAGAAUCUGGGUUUGAUUCCGGAGAAAAGGCCUGAGAGACGGCCAUUACUUCUAAGGAAGGCAGCAGGCGCGUAAAUUACCCAAUCCCAAUUCGGGGAGGUAGUGACGAGAAAUACUUGUAUUGGUCCCAACGGGAACAAUGAUAGGAAUGAGAACAACGUAAAAAACUUAACGACUAACAAUUGGAGGGCAAGUCUGGUGCCAGCAGCCGCGGUAAUUCCAGCUCCAAGAGUGUAUAUUAAAGUUGUUGCAGUUAAAAAGCUCGUAGUUGGAUUUCGGAUUCCACGUUUAGGUUGGUAAUUUUAUUAUCGAUCGACUUGUGGUGUUCUACUUUUGGUGGUAGUAAUAUCAUCGAUUGUUUACUGUGAAAAAAUUAGAGUGUUUAAAGCAGGCAUACGCCUGAAUAUUUCAGCAUGGGAUAAUAGAAUAUGACAAUAGUCUUAUUUUGUUGGUUUCUAGGGCUAGUGUAAUGAUUAAAAGGGACAGUUGGUGUAACUUGUAUUGGCUCGCUAGGGGUGAAAUCCUAUGAUUGAGUCAAGACAAACUACUGCGAAAGCAUUUUACAAAGAUGUUUUCAUUAAUCAAGAACGAAAGUUGGGGGAUCGAAGAUGAUCAGAUACCGUCGUAGUCUCAACUGUAAACGAUGUCGACUUAGGAUUAGGAAAUAUUACAUGGAUGAUUUUCCUAGCACUAAAAGAGAAAUCGUUAAGUAUUCAGACUCCGGGGGGAGUAUGGUCGCAAG
rnacentral:rRNA from 1 species